rnacentral:rRNA from 1 species
UACGUAGGGCGCAAGCGUUGUCCGGAAUUAUUGGGCGUAAAGAGCUCGUAGGCGGCCAGUUGCGUCUGCUGUGAAAUCCCGGGGCUCAACCCCGGGCGUGCAGUGGAUACGGGCUGGCUAGAGGCAGGCAGGGGAGAACGGAAUUCCCGGUGUAGCGGUGAAAUGCGCAGAUAUCGGGAGGAACACCGAUGGCGAAGGCAGGUCUCUGGGCCACUACUGACGCUGAGAAGCGAAAGCAUGGGGAGCGAACAGG